UACGUAGGUGGCAAGCGUUAUCCGGAAUUACUGGGCGUAAAGCGCACGCAGGCGGUCUUGUAAGUUUGGCGUGAAAGCUCCCGGCUUAACUGGGAGAGGUCGCUGAAGACUGCAAGACUUGAGGAAAUGAGAGGGGUGUAGAAUUCCCGGUGUAGUGGUGGAAUGCGUAGAUAUCGGGGGGAAUACCAGUGGCGAAAGCGGCACCCUAGCAUUUUUCUGACGCUCAUGUGCGAAAGCGUGGGGAGCGAACGGG
rnacentral:rRNA from 1 species